UGGCGUGCAUAGCCAUUAUUACCUUUAACCUCAGCUUGUAAGAUAAUGACUAUUAAUUAAAUGGUAUUAGGUGAAUACCGUUCACUUUGUCAUGUGCUAUAAGUUAUCUUAUCACUCAUUUAAUAGAUGCAUGCACCAUGUACACAAUAUUCUAUUGAAGCAAUUAUAUAUUGCAAUUAAUCCAUCCACUGCACUGCAUAGUCGGAGGUGAUUAUUGAGUAGUUUUUACACCAC
rnacentral:lncRNA from 1 species